GCUCAGGACCAGUCCUGAGGGGAUCAUUAACGGCAACUAGGGUGGCAAAUGGCACAGAUGAAUUAUUGCUUGUGAUGUUAGCUUGGGCUACCACGACUGCAGUAACACCCGUAUGUUCGUGCAUAAAGAAGUGAAGAUUGGUGACCUUAGGUGGCCUGGGAUGAUAUGGUCGGCUCUUCGAGUAGUAUUGGCUCUGCACUGCUACUUGGGAGAGGCAGAUGAUCAGAAUCCAACUCAACAUCAAUGUUCCUCUCAUUGUCUCUGCUUUACUAUAAUUUCUGGGGCGAAAUGUAGAUGAAAGCUAUAGAAUUGUUUCUUUAUUUUUAUUAAGAAAACAGAAAUAUUUAUAGCGAUAAAACCCGCAGACAUGAAAAUAAUUUAUUGUCCCAAAUAUUUUAUAUAAUAUUUCGCCGUAGUAAUAUUAAAAGGAACACAAACCUUGAUCACGCAAAAGAAACAUGGUCUCAUUGUCUAUGAUCCACUUGUAAAUUAAUUUUAUAUUGGAAGUUUCCUCUCCUACGUUUUUAAUUUCGUGUGAAUGGUGCAUUGUCCAUUGACUUUAUUUUAUUUGAUAUUAUAUAUUACUUGUGAUUGAUUUUAUAAAUUAUUUUAUCUUCUGCAAAUAAAAGAUGUUUGAUUUUAUAAAUCAUUUAUUUGAUACGUUUUUUCGGGUAUUCUAAGAUUAAAUAUGACAAAAAAAAGAAGAUAGGAGUGAGUUAUCAUAGAAUAUUUAAGAAAAUUUUUCUUAUAUAUACAUCUUAGAAUGCCCGAAAAACCUAAAAAAAUGCAAUUUCCUGUAAUUUAGUGUACAAAUUCAUAAAAUCGACACGAACUACCACAUGGCCGUGUGGAAUGGGUCAGCCCGUGUGGCUCAUGUAGCUUACUCUGAUUUUCCAUUCUUCACACGUUUUGCUCCCAAAUGCUCUAUUAAGCAUUAAAAUAUGAAUUUAAAGGAUUAGGAUAAUAAAAUUCACCAUUAACAUCGAAAAAUCACCUAAAAACGAAUUAAGAGCGAGGUUAAAAUAUGGUUUCUUUUAGCACUCAUCAAAUAUCUCCAUACUUAAGCGUUUGCUUGUCCUCCACAAUCAAGUGCACUUCCCUUAAUUUAUUGUUUUCACCGAUAAUGUCUCAGGAUAAUCCACAGAUAAUCAAGCAUUAGAAAUUCGAACUAAAAUGACACUAAAGAAUACAAGUAAUCCAAGCAAAAAUUUUCAAUACAUAAAAACAAAGGCAUCUCUCCUAUCUCAAUAAUUACAUGAAAUUUAAACUCAACAAGAAUUGACAUCCUCACUAAGGAUCACUCAAAGCACUCAGAGUCUUUAAUGUUCAAGGACUAUGCACUCAAUAGUCGAAUGAGAAAUGUUAUUACCAUAGGCUUGCUUGAAAAUUAGAUCUCUACCACUAAAGAAAUGAGAUGACACACCUAUUACCUCACAUAAAUACUAAGAAACCUUUAGUUUCAUAUGAUCAGUAAAAUGCAUGUUUCACUAAGUAGAAGAUCUGAAAGGACUUAAUUUGGUUUCUAAACUCAUGAAAGAUCAAGUUGCCAUGGAAUGCUUUCCGAACACUGUUAAGCAUGAUGAAAAUAAAUUAAGUUGAUUAAUGUAAUUAUCUUAACCUAUACAUGUUAUUGAUUGUUGAAGUUGUGUUUCUGUUGCUAAAAUCCAUUCAUACAUUUAGAUUAUUUUGCAUACUUAGUUUAAAAAUGCAUUAGGGACCAAAUUUUGCAUCCAGUUAAAUUAAUUUAGUUAAAUCAUCAUCACUAAAAUUAUUGUGUUUGAUAAUACUCUGGAUUGACAUAUUUUUAUGUAUUAAUUACAUAAUUAUUUUGAGUAUGAUCCUGCUAAUUUGAGCUAUUUAUGGUUUUUUUAUAUGCUAGGGAUUAAAUUGAAGGCAAAAGGAAAUUUAGGAGCAAAAGCAUGAAUUUGAAACAAAAUGGGCCAGCAUGCGAAAUAGGAAAGAAGUUGUGCCAAAAAUGCAAAGUGUGGAAGACUUGAGAGCAACAGUUCAAAGAAAAGAUUUUAUAAACACAAUACUCUAUUUAAAUUUUAAUUAUAUUAGGAUUAUUGUUAAAAUUAUUAUUUAAAUUUCAUUUUAGCUUUUAUCUUUAUUUAUCUUUUAGAAUUUAGAUAGGAAUAAACUAGGUUUUCUGAGUACUAUAAAUAGAGGAUGGAGUGACAUAAAUUGCACUCAUCUUUUCUGUAAAAGCUCCCUCUCCCAAAAAGCUCUAGCUUUUGUUCCUUUUAUUUAUUCAAUAAAAUUCCAUUUUUAUUAAGUUUAUUUCUUUUUCCCCAAAAAGCAUGAGCCACUAAAUUCAUCUAGCCAAAGGUUGUCGAAGAUUACCCAAAAAGGGUUCAUGAGGCUUAGAAUCCACACUUAACCUUCUCAACAAAUAUUCGUCAUUUCUCUGUAUUACAAGAUUGACGCUUCUAUCCAUGUCCCUUCAAAUGUGAUCUUUUCAUCUUGUGCAAAGGCGGCCGCUUUAUAUGUUUUGGGAAGGUUGCACAGUCGGUUCGUUAGCCUACUGCGUCAGUGUUUGUCAAGUCCAAGAGACAAAAUAGCGUGGCAUUCGCCAUUGAGAAGUGAUGAUCUAGUGUAAAACGGUUCCAUAAAAGUGACGAUUGGUUAGAGUCAGGUUCCUCUAUAUCGUGAGUCUAAAAUCUAAGUGGAGCUGGUGGUCAUAGGCGUCCUCUUCCACUAUAACUGGCUUAUUCUGUUAUGAUAAGGAUCAUCUAAAAGCCUAGGAUUGAACCUGAGGAGGAUCGAGAUAACCGGAGGCUGGAAUCUCUUUAUCAAAAACUCUAUUUUCUUAAUUCUGUUUAUUUUUACAGUUUCAAUUUCAAUUUAUGCAAUCUCAACUCAACCAAACUUUUAAUUUUGUUUUUUUAUUCUUUUCCAGGCACGCUAUUUUUAUUGGGCAAGACUUUGCUCGGGAUAUCGAGGAAGAGGAACCUGUGCAAGUCCAAUCCCUGAAGAUUUGACCCUACUUCCCUUAUACUAUUCUUUUCAUUAUUUUAUAGGGAUAUGAUACUUUUGGUGCUCUCAACGAUGCACCAAAUUUUGACACUGUUGCUGGGGACUAGUAACGUACUAAUCUUGCUCCUUUUGUUUCUUAUUACCAGAUCUGUUCCAAGUAUUCUUACAUUUGAUUCAGAGAUAGAGAAGAUUGCGUGAGCUAAUCGCAAAGAAACAAAACUACAUAAAAAGCAGUUAGGGGUGGUAAGGACUCAGACUAACCCACCGCUGGAGAUAGAAGCAGAUGACAAUGUGUCUAGGGUUAACGAAAACCCUACUCAAACACUAGAAAAUGAAAGAGUAGGAGUCGAUCCACCAGAAGAAGUGCUUAAUGUGAGGGUUAACGAAAUGCAAAACAAAAAUCCCCACAAACAUUUAAAAGAGUUUUAUAUGGUUUGUCUUAGCAUAAAACCUUAGGGCAUAACUAAGGAUCAAAUCAAAUUGGGUGCUUUCCCUUUUUCCCUAGCAGAUUCUACUAGGGAAUGGUUAUUUUAUCUACCCUCUAGAUCUAUUACAACUUAAACUGAUCUUUCUCGUUUGUUUCUCAAUAAUCUUUUCUAGCAUCGUAUGCAAUUGAGUUAAUAAGGGAGAUCGUUGGGAUAAGAAUAAAAGAAGUAAAGUCUCUUUAUGACUAUUGGGAGCGAUUUAAGAAGUUGUGUACAAGUUGCCCACAACAUGGUAUAACGAAACAGUCUUUACUCCAAUACUUUUAUGAAGGAUGGAAACCUAUAGAAAUGAACACGGAAGAUGCCGCCAGUGGAGGGGUAUUGGUCAACAUGACUCCCCAACAAGUAAGGGACUUGAUAUCCACGAUGGCUAUGAAUAAUCAACAAUUUUGAGCCAAUCCUAAACCCACUAGAGGGGUUCACUAGCUAAGUAAUUCAACCUUAGAAGAUAAAGUUGAUAGACUUACUAAUAUUAUGAAUUCUUUUAUUGCAGAAAAAGCAAAACUAACUUGACUAUGCGGAAUUUGUUCCAUACCUAAACAUACAAUUGAUUUAUGUCCUAGUUUGUAUGAUGAUACUAUGGCCUAUUUGAAUGCUGUGGAGAACUUUCCUGGGCCACCACAAAGUCGAUAUGAUCCUUACGCUAAUACCUAUAACCCAGGAUGGAAAAACCAUCCUAACUUGAGUUAUAGGGUCAACCUACGAUAUAACUAGCCAUACCAAAAUUAGUUUCAACAAUAGCCGCGAGAUUGAUGUACUUCUCUAGAAACCAUGGUCAAUAAAUUAGCAGCUAAUAUGCUUGAUUUUUAAUAGAAAACUGAGGUGUCUAUAAGAGAGUUGACCAUAUCAAUUGAGAAAAUGAACUCUUAAGGGAAGCUACCAUCACAAAAAGAGCCAAACCCAAGACAAAAUGCAAAUGUAGUGACAUUGCAAAGUGGAAGAGAACUAGAACCAAUUCCUGGUAGAAAUCUUGGCAAAGAUUUUGCCCAAGAGAAGCACGAGAACGACGAACUAGUUCGAAUGAAACCUCCAUUGCCUAAAAUUCAACCUCCAUUUCUAAGAUGAUUGAACCAAAAUCGGAAAGGUAAAGAGGAUAAGGAGAUCCUCGAAACAUUCAGAAAUGUUGAGAUCAACAUACCACUAUUGGAUGCCAUCAAACAAAUUCUGCGAUAUGCCAAGUUUCAUAAGGAGCUCUACACCAACAAGUGAAAAUUAACUGGUAAUGAAAGGGUAAGCGUUGGUGAAAAUGUAUCCACAGUGUUAUAGUGGAAGAUGCCAACAAAAUGCAAAGAUAGGGGAAUGUUUACAAUACCAUGCAAAAGAGGCCACUUAGGAAUUAAAAAAGCUAUGUGUGAUUUAGGGGUCUCCAUAACUGUAAUGCAUUUUCUAUUUAUGAAUCACUUACCAUGGGUUUUUUAAUGAAAAUAGGUGCUAUCAUUAAGUUAGCAGACACGUCUAUUGUGCAUUCUGAAAGAGGAUCGAGAUAACUGGAGGCUGGAAUCUCUCCAUCAAAAACUCUCUUUUCUCAACUCUGUUUAUUUUUACAAUUUCAAUUUCAAUUUACGCAAUCUCAACUCAACCAAACUUUUAAGUCUAUUUUUUUAUUUUUUAUCCAGGUACGCCAUUUUUCUUGGGCAUGACCCUGUCCGGGAUCUCGAGGAACAAGAACUUGUACAAGUCCAGUCUUUGAGGAUUUGACCUUACUUCCCUUAUACUAUUCUUUUCAUUAUUUUAUAGGGAUAUGGUAUUUUUGGUGUUCUCAAUGACGCACCAAUGUUUUUAUACCAAAUUGUGAAUUUAUAAAUUUGCAAAUAAUCAAUUAACACACACAGCCCCUAUGGAGAUGAUAACUCAUUUUACUUACUUAUUACUUGAACAACUGUGUACACUUGCACAAUAAUCCCGUUACAAAUGUUUUUCAUAUUCAAAAGGAGUAAGCUUUAUGCAUGUCAUGGAUGAGAAAAGUAUGGCACUGGGUGUAGAGAAAAGGAUAAAAUUUUUAAGAGGAUGUAGAGAUUAUAAGGUUUUCUAAAUCUUCUCAAAUAUAUAAAAAUUAUUUGACAAGAAAAUCCUUGUCCCAUAAUAAAUAUAUACCUUAAUCCUGAGUGGAUGAUGGACUAUGUAUGUGUGUAUCAUAUACUUUGAGGUAAGUAAAAGUCUGAGUUCAAAUAGAUAAGGAACCAAAAGUUGGUGCAUUGGAUAUACGACUUCUGUAGUAUAUAAGUUCGUUCACAAUAGUGGAAUUCAUUGCGCAACUAAUGGGUAAAUGAUACAAAUUCAUCUACAUUACAUGCUAGAUGAAAAUUAAACAUGAUCAUAGAUCGUUUGUCUUUGUGGUAAAUGGCUUGAUUACUAUUUGUCCUAGACAAAUGAUUCGUGGCCUUGUUACUUUUUCAUCUAUCAUUUAAUGCUAAUGAGAGAAUAUCAUUUACCCUUUAAUGGGUUAUGAAUUCCACUAUCUGAAUGAAGCUAUGUCGUGCAAAAGUAGUAUGCCUAACAUAUUAGCUUUCGGAUUUUUAGUUGUUUUGAACUCAAUCUUUCACUACAUCUAAGUGUACGAGUUAUGCACACAUAGUUAGUCACUUAGUCAAGUUUGAGGUAAGUCACUAUGAACAUCACAAAUAAAUUAAUCCACAAACAAAUCUAAGAUUAAUUUGAAUUGAGUCUUUCUUUAUGUAUUAUCAAUCCAGACAAUAACAUCUACGUCUCUAUCUUCUGGGAGUCAUCUGUUUCGAUACUAAAGACAAGAUAUCUAUCUAAUAGAACUUGAUAGACUGCAUAAUAAUCCUUUAACUGAUUUGCUCAAUUUCGAUUUAAUGGACCUUUUAAAUUAUCUACUAAUAUAAGUUAUCUUCUCGAAUUGAUCCGACCAUAUAAUACAACUUAAUAUCGGUUAAACGUUAGGUAAUCAAUGACUAAUAUUUGUUGACAUUUUACUUCUUUUGCGCUUGUUUUUAUAUUCAAAAUUUACCACUUUCUUUUGCAAAUUCAUUUUAUUCUAUUUUAAUUAGUUUAUAGUUAACUACACUUAGACUCCCUUUGGAUAGGUGAUGAGAUUAAUCCGAUGAGAUUGAAAAUAGUGGUAGCGACAAUAUUAUCUACUAUUGAUGUACUAAAACAACUCUUCAUGACCUAAAAUAAAUUAAAAUUAAUAAAUUUUAUUUAUUAACAACAGAAUACCGCCAAACUCAAGAGGACGCCUCUAUAAAUGAAACUAUUCGUGGCAUUCAACGAGAGAAACGCCACUAAUAUAUACAAAUUAAAAUUUAAAAAAUUAAUUAUAUUUCUUAAUUGUAUAAUUUACGGUAUCUGAGACUUGGUCGCCACCAUGUGCACUAAUGUGUUAUCCGCUGAAAUGUUGAAAUUCGCUGGCUGACGUGAGUGAAUUAGCCGCGUUUUCUGGGUAACCUCCACUUAUCAUGCGCAUAAGCCACUACAGGAGUACCUAUGUGGCACUUUUCUCUGUAAACGCCGCAAGGUAUUGCCGCGGUGAGUGGUGAGAUGCAACAUGAUAUGAUCGUGGUUUUCUUCAAGUCAACUGGAUGAGGUCGCAUAUAAGCAAUCUUGCUCCUUCCUGUCUUCCGCUGUGAGUGAGCUUUGUUCAACAAAGUGAUCUGAGAGGAUAGGUGGGUUUUACUUGUUGUAAGGGUGGAGUGGCAACGUCUAGCAACUAUAAAUUUUGCAACCAUAUAAGCCAAACUGUAAAAGACAGCACAUAAUUCAUCAAAUAAAUAAUCUUAUUCAUAAUACAUAAAAAUAAAAUAAUUAAUUCAAAAUCAUGCACAAUUUUCUUUAAAAUAAUAUAAAUGUCAAAUGCUAAAUAAUAUGAUCAGAACAAGAAAGAGAUAAUACACUAAAAUAAUACAGUUGAAUGUUUGAGUUUAUAAGUUAAGAGUAUUUUUAUUAAUAUUAUAUUCCAAUUCGAGUUAAGAUUUUUUAUCAAACUAAAAGUGAAAAUUUAUAUCAAAGAAAGAAAUUGUAGUAAGUUGAGUGUCAAAUCCGUUUUUUAUUGAAAAUGGUGGCAAAAACAUUAAUUUUUUAAUGAUGUUGACGCGACAACUUAAUUACAUAUACUUUAUACAAACAUUACAAUUCGUUUUUUUUAUGUUACCUCACCAAAUGAUUUAAAAUUUAUAAAAUAUUCAAAUUAUAAAAAAGAGUUCAUAAAAAUUCAUAAAAUUAGCAUGGACUACAUGUAGAUUGCUAAGUGGGCUGUUAUGUUUAAAAGUUUAAUGUUUUAAUAAGUAUUUCUAUUUAAAAAAAAUAACAAUUCGAUUCUUUUUUAAAUGUUGGUGGUCAAAUUUGACCUCUUUAAAAUGGUUGAGACUAAAACCAAUAUGAGUAAAAAAUAUAAACAUUAAGGGUUAAAUUUGAUAUUAUGCAUGGACUUAUCGAUAAUUAGAGGCUUUUAAGUAUAGUUAAAUCCGAAUUUAUUGAUUCAAACAAAAUUUUGUAUCAAUAAAAAUAAUAAAAGUUUUCUUUUUUACUUUGGUCAAACUUUGGUGGAGAGAUUUUCGAGUAAAGGUGUUGGUGAUUUGAAUCAUUUCCUGGGAAUUGAAGUCAUUCUCAAGAUUUAUUCAUCUCAACUCAAGAAUAUAUCUGUUAUGAUAUAUUGAGCAAAGUAAACUUGCUGCUUCGUUGUAAUAUUUGACUUUGACACCAUUUCAUAAUUGUUUGGUUGAUAUAUUGAGCAAAGUAAACUUUUCUCAGCUUUUGCGUAAACCAACCUCUAGCAGAGAUGAAGAUAAAUACUGAAUAAAUAUAUUUGUAAUAAAAUAAUAAAGUACAAUGAUGAAGUAUGAGAAUGUCAAUCUCAUACACUUAUUCUAUCCGAGUGGAGCGGAAUCAUACGACUUUUUCACAAUCCAAGAGAAUUGAGUCUGUAAAUGACACCUUAGUAAUGAACUACAGUAAAGUUAAAUUCCAUAAUGACAUUGGUGGCAUUUAUAAGGAUAGGGUUAAAUAGUGCAGUCCCUUUUGCCAUCAUGAAUCGUCCUCUUCCUCCGACCACCGCAAGCCCUGGUUCUCCCCUUGAAAAUACGCUUAGAGAGCUGCCGUUAAACUUACCGGUAUUAAAUCCAAAUUCUAUGUACUGCGUGCUCGAUGCAUUUGAUCCGGCUAAGAGGGAAAUACCCUGAACAUUUCCAAUCACCUCUGAGUCAGGCUCAGGACCAGUCCUGAGGGGAUCAUUAACAGCAACUAGGGUGGCAAAUGUCACUGAUGAAUUAUUGCUUGUGAUGUUAGCUUGGGUUAGCACGACUGCUGUAACACCCGUAUGUUCGUGCAUAAAGAAGUGAAGAUUGGUGACCUUAGGUGGCUUGGGAUGAUAUGGUCGGGUAUCUGAGUAGUAUUGGCUCCGAACUGCUACUUGGGAGAGGCAGAUGAUCAGAAUCCAACUCAACAUCAAUGCUCCUUUCAUUGUCUCUGUUUUACUAUAAUUUCUGGGGCGAAAUGUAGAUGAAAACUAUAGAAUUGUUGCUUCAAUUUUAUUAGGAAGACAGAAAGAUUUAUAGUGAUAAAACCCGCAGACAUGAACAUAAUUUGUUGUCCCAAACAUUUUAUAUAAUACAUGAUUGAUUUCGCCGUGGCAAUAUUAUAAAGAACACAAAUCCUGAUCACGCAACAGAAACUUGGCCUAAUUAUUUUAGAUUGGAAGUUUCCUCCUCCUGCGUUUCUGUUUUCGUGUGAAUAUUGUCCAUUGACUUUAAUUUAUUUGAUAUUAUAUAUUCCAUGUGAUUGAUGUGUUGAUUUUAUAAAUUAUUUUAUCUUCUGCAAACAAAUGUUUGUUUGAUGUGAAAUCUCUUUUUUUUUUUUUCUUUCUAAAUCUCCUUCAGAAAUUAACGGCGAAUCUAGAAAUCAGAAACAUGGUCUAAUUAGCUGCUGGCUCUAAUCAAUUUUCUUUGUUUUUUACGCAAAGCAGGUUGUGGAAUUCACUACCACCGUUCUGCCAAUUUUUCUCUUUUUUCUUGAGUAAUUAAAACUUUAUUCUGGCUUGGGGACACUAAUCAAUCCGAGAGAGAACUGUGAUGCUUUCAAUUUUGCCUAAAUCUUCCACACUCUUGCAACACUUUAUUGGAAUUUGUUAAAUUUGGAACUGAAUUGUGUGCUAAUACAUGUCUCAUGGAAUUUGACAUUUUCUAUACUCGCUUAGACAAAUUGCUCAUUUGAAAAAACGAAAAAGAAAAAAAAAAGAAGUGAGAACAGAACUGAUAGCUUAAAUUAUGAGUAAGAACUUGUGUAUUGUGACGGUUGUUUGAAUUGUUAUCGCACUUCGCGUCAAAAGCUCUAGUACUGUUUCAAGUCAAUAAAUUACUCUAAUCACGGUGCCAUAAGAGAGAUAUAUUGAAUUGUGUAAUCAUCUUGAGUUGUCAUUUCAUUUUAUGUUAAAAGAUUCGACAACAUCUUAAACAAAAAGAAAUAAAUAAAUGUCUGUGCGAGUCUAAUUGAAUAAGUCCAUGGAAUGAAAACAUUUUCCGGGAUAUUGUUACAUGACUCGAAUGAUUGAACAAAAGGUGUGCUUGAGAACAAGCUUUCUUCAAGUCAGCCGGAGGAGGUCUGUCAUCCGGUGUGAGUGAGCAAUAUUGUUCAACAAAGUGAUCUUAGAGGGUAAGGGUGGAGUCACCAUGUCUAAAAGUUAUAAAUUUUUUAACCAUAUAAGUAAACGUGUAAGAAAAACACAUAAUACAUCAAAUAAAUAAUCUUAAUCGCGAUACAUAAAAUAAAAAAAAAUGAUUUAAGAUCAUACACACACAUUGUUUUAAAUAAUAUAAAUGUCGAUUCCCACACAAUAUCUUCAAAACAGGAAAAAUAUAUUACACUAAAAUAAUAUAGUUGAAUGUUUGAGUGUAUAAAUUAAGAAAAAUUUUAUUAAUGUUUUAUUCCAUAUGAAAGAAAGAAAUUGUAGUAAGCUGAAAAAUUUAACACAUUUGGCCUAUAGUUGGAGACUAGAAAUUCAAAUUUAACUUCUCCUUAUUGUGAUUUAACUUUUGUUAAACUUAACUUAAGCUUCAAUUUAAUCCCAGAAAUUCAACAGAGUCUAGAUUGGAAGUUUCCUCCCCCUGCGUUUUGAUUUUCGUGUGGAUAUUGCCCUUUGACUUUAAUUUAUUUGAUAUUACAUAUAAUAUAUGAUUGAUGUAUUGAUAUUAUAAAUUAUUCUAUUUCUGCUAAGAAAAGUUUGUUUGGUAUGAUCAAGUCUCUUUCCAAUAUAAUCAACUCCGACAUAAGAAAUUCAUUAGAAAUCAGAAACAUGAUCUAAUUAACACCCAAUUGAGAAAUUUAUAUCAAUUUUCUUUGGUUUUUGCGCCAACCAGGUGGUGGCCCAUUUUUUAAAUUAUUAUUUAAUUAAUUAUAAUUAAUUAACUUAAGUAUAAUGCGAGAAAUAAAUUUAAAUAAUUAUCAUGGAUUUAUUAAAUAAGACAAUUAAAUAUAUUUUUCUUACAAAUUUAUUAAAUAACUUUAAUGGAAUUAUAAUUGGGUUGAAAUAUAAUUUAAUUAAGAAAAUAAUUUAAUUAAUUUAUAUAUUUAAGAAAUAUAAAAUAAAUAUUAGGUUAUAUAAAUUAUAAGUGUUGGAUAAAAAACCCAAAUUAGGUCUAGUUAAUGGAAGGGAUGGCAAGCCUUAGUAUUUUCUAGGCCAUGCCACCGCCCCCACCUAUUCUACUUCAAGUAGAAUUUUUAUUUUCUAUUAAAAUAUUAUCAUUCGAUUACCCUUUAUUCAAAUAGAUCUCUUGUACUGUUUCUUUAUAAUUAGGGACUACGAGCUAAACUAUUCAUACAAUUUUGAGAGUAUUGUUAUUUUGUCAAAAAAUAGUGACAAUUUUUUUAGAAUAAAUUCUAUUUUUUGGGAAAAUCUGAUAGUUUCCAGUUUAUAGAGAGAAUUAACAUUCUCAUUGAAAGUUAAGAAAUGUUUUCAUUCUGUGCAUUUGGUUCUAUUUUGAGAGCUCAUACUCAAAGCAAUUCAGGGUUUGAGGAUAGCGAAGAAGGUCAUUCACUAGAAAGUCAGGAUUGACUUAGACUACCUCGUACAAAACAUAGGUAUAAAUUUGGUUAAAGGUUUAUUGUUAUAAAUAUCACCAGGCUUGAUUUUAAGUAAAAUUUUAAACUUCCGUUUUGCCUAAAAACUUAGUUUUCUAAACCCAUUUUUACAACAAUUGUGUGGUGUAUAGUUGGAAGAAUCGAAACAAUCCGUAAUUGUCAUAUUCAGUGUGUUGAAGAACAAACUAAUGUGACCAAUUGAGUAAAUGAUUGGAUUUGUCAAGGGAAUUAAUGAUAGAUUUUAAACGACUCACACAAUUGAGACCUUUGAUUCAAGUCAAUUCUAUCUUGUUCGCAUGGUUAAUGAGGAACUAAAUAGUGGAAGUUGAUUUUAGGUUAUUCGCUUGGUAAGGGUUACUUGUCAAAUCGUUCUCACAUUUAAUUUACAUACAAAAAGGUAAGUCGCGGUUAGAAGUUGCUCCUCAAUCAUUAUAAUUGACUUAUCGGUUGGAGGAGAAAAUCUAUUGUCGUGCAUCAACUAAAACCAAGGCCAAAACUAUUCUUGAAGUUAGAGCGUUGUUUCAUCAGUUUACUCAAUUUUAAUCCCUCUCUUCUAUUUUUCAUAUAGUUCGACACAUGUCGUGGGCAUGAAAGUUGCCUACCACACGUUCUGGUUAAAAUGAACAUCAAUUUAUUCUGUUAUAUUAGCAUUAUGGAAAUCUCUGGGAUACCUGGUCUAUUCCGCUGUUAUACUCGCUAUUAUAUUCUCCGUUGAAUACAGCAGUCGGAAAGUUAAUUUCUCUCUAUGAAAAAUCGAAAAGCUUUGAGAUUUAUAGAAAAUAGGAUUUAUUCUUGUAAAUAUCUCUUUUUUAAAGAAAAUGAUGACAAAAAGAAUUAAUUUUUUAAUGAUGUUGGUAUGGCAAUCCACACGUAAUUUAUAUUGUCAUGAUAUUUUUUGUUUUAUAUGCCAUGUCAACAAAUAAUUUAAAAAUUAUAAAUUAUAAAAAAAUUAAUACAAAAUAUAUGUGGAUUGCCCUGCGCGCUGUGAUGUUUAAAAAUAGUUAGUAUUUCCAUAAACAAAAAAAAAAAAUUGACUCUUCUUGAAAGGUUUGUGGUCAAAUUUGAUUCCUUUUAAAAGGUUGCGGCUCAAAUUUAGCUCAAAAAUGAAAUAAGAGUUAAAUUGAGUAAAACACGUCAACAUUGAGAACUAAAUUUGACAUUACGCCUUGAUUUAUCAAUCUAUUAAAGGCCUAAGUAUUGUGGAAUAUGAACUUAUCGAAUCAGACAAAUUUGGUAUCAAUAAAAACAAUAAAGCUUUUCUCUCUAACUUUGUUCAAACUUUGGCGGAGACAUUCUCUAGUAAAGAUCUUGCUGAUCUGAAUCAUUUCUUGGAAGUUAAAGUCAUUCCAACAUAUCAAGAUUUAUUCAUCUCAACACAAGUAUAUAGAUGUUAUGAUAUAUUGAGCAAAAUCAACAAAUAAUUGUCAAGUGCCAAGGAAUCAAAUACACCAAUGUCUACUUUAGUUUGUUUAAGUUUUCAUGUUGGUCAAGUUUUGCAUAAAGCAGCCUCUAUCAGAGAUGAAGAUAAAUACUGAAUAGAUAUAUUUAUAUGCCUUUUUGUAGCUAAGAAUUUAAUCUUUAUUUGUAAUAUAACAGUAAAGUACAAUGAUCAAGUAUGAGAAUUUUAAGUUUUAAUCAAAUCAACAUAUAUAUAUAUAUCAUACACUUAUUCUAAUCAAGUGGAGCAUAAUCAUACGACUUUUUCACAUUAAUCCAAGAGAAAUGAGUCUGUAAAUAACACCUUAGUAAUGAAUUACAGUAACGUUAAAUUCAGCAAUUGUAUUGGUGGCAUUUACAAGGAUAGGAUUAAAUUGUGCAACCCCUGUUGCCAUCAUGAAUUGUCCUCUUCCUCCGACCACCGCAAGAUCAGGUUCUCCCCUUGAAAAUACGCUUAGAGAGCUACCGUUAAACUUACCAGUAUUAAAUCCAAAAUCUAGGUAUUCCGUGCUCGAUGCAUUCAUUCCAGCCACUGACGCAAUACCCUGAAUAUUUCCAAUCAACUCUGAGUCAGGCUCAGGACCAGUCCUGAGGGGAUCAUUAAUGGCAAAUAAGGAGGCAAAUGGCAGUGAUGAACUAUUGUCAUUGCUUGUGCUGUUAGCUUGGGCUACCACUACUAUUGUAACACCCGUAGUUCUGUGCAUAAAGAAGUUAAGAUUGGUGACCUUAACUGGCCUGGGAUGAUAUGGUAGGGUCUCCGAGUAGUAUUGGCUCUGCACUGCUACUUGGGCGAGGCAGAUGAUCAGAAUCCAACUCAACAUCCAUGUUCCUCUCAUUGUCUCUGCUUUACUAUAACUUCUGGGGAAAGCUAUAGAAUUGUUGCUUCAUUUUUAUUAAGAAAACAGAAAGAUUUAUACUGAUAAAACCUGCAGAUAUGAAAAUAAUUUAUUGUCCAUAACAUUUUAUAUAAUACCUGCAUGAUUUCUCACUAGUAAUAUUAAAGACAAAACAAAUUUUGACCAGGCAACACAAACUUGGUCUAAUUGGCUGAUUGAUUUUUUAAAAAAGGAUAACUUCACGUAAACACCAUUCUGCCUAUAAAAUUAAAUGAUCCACUUGCUUUAAAUUAAUUUGUGGAUUGGAAGUCUCCUACCCUGCCUUUUUUAUUUUCGUUUGAAUGGUUUGUAUUGUCCAUACAUCUGAUUGAUGUGCUGAUGUUAUAAAUUAUUUUAUUUUAUAAUUUUGUGGAUUGGGUCCACUUAAAUAAAGGUUGAAGAUAACCAAAAAUAAUAUUAAUGUUCUUAGGUAUCAUUAAGUAAAAUAAUAUUGUGUUACUAGGAGGGCAACAACACUCCCUCUCGAGCCUUGGGUGUUGCCCAUCACACAUUGGAUGAGCUUAUUGGGCCUAUCUCAUAUAUUGUACAUAUAUCUAAAUAUUUAAUCAACCCAUAUAUUUUAGUUAACUUCAUAAAUAAUUUUUUAUUUACUUAAUUAAAAAAAAUUAAUUAAUCUAUUUAAUUAAAUUAUUUUCUCAACCCAAUUAAAUAUUUGAGGUAAAAUUUAUUAUUAUACCAAUAAAAAAUUGUCACCGUCAAUGAUUUAACGGAGUGAUGACCAAAAUAUUAAAUUUCAAUAAGGUGACUAAAAUAGAAAAUUUUAAACUUGAGUGACCAUAAUUGAAACACACUAAGAAUUAGGUGACUAUUUUUUAACUUUACCAUUGUUGUACUAUGAUAAGAACAAUCGGAUUUGGCAGGGCAUAUAGAGUUAAAAAUUGUCACAUAGCCUACAUAAUUUUUCUAUACAUUAAUGCUUAAAAUACUCAUAAACCCCCACGCUCGUAAAUUGGAGAUAAAAGCACUUAAAGUGUUUGAACCCACAUCCUACUUAUUGUUGCAACAACAAUAGUAACACUUGAGUUAAAGAUCAAUUAGCCAUGCUUCUUUUUCUUUUAAAGUUGCAUAACAAGUGGUUAAAAUCUAAACAAUGAAUCAAACCCCAAAUUUGUGGUCUAUUGAUUGACUGCCUAUUUUCUAUAAAAAUAGCCUAAAUUCGAGUCAUCUAUGCACCUAUAACAAAUGAUUAAAAUCUAAAUAAUGAACCAAACCGCAAGUUGUGAUCCAUUGAUCGAGUGUUUAUUUUCUAUAAAAAUAGCCUAGAUUCAAGUCAUCGAUGUGCCUAAAGAAAACGUCUAAACGGAGAUCCAAAGUUUUGUAUUUUUCAAAAAUAUUAGUUAAGCGCAUAUCCCUAUUAUACUCAAGGUUAAAACAUAUAUGGAGUCUAAUAAUUAAAAUUUUUUAAUAAGUUUUUUUUAUAAAAUAUUUAAAAAAAUUGUAUUAAUUUAUUUAUGAGGAUAGUUUAGUUCAUCAAUUUAAAUUGAUCAAUAUUUUAAAAUUAAUAUUAGAAUGAUAUUUUGGUCUAUCAAUUUUAAGAGUUAAUUUAAAGCUUACUCAAGAAACAGAUGAAAAGGUGAGUUAAAGAUGAAAUGGAUCAUACUAAGUGUUGGGUAUAGCGGUAAGAUACAUUAUAUUUUUAAGGGAAAAUACAAAAUUAAAUUUUGGAGAUGACAUUGUUAAGACGGACAACAACGAACCUUGAACAUGGACUUAAAAAAAACAAGAGGAAUACAAAAAAAAAAAAAAGAACAAAUAGGUCACAAGCAUGGUGUGUUUCAAUGUACAGUUCCGAGUUUAUCAAUAUUUUUAGUUUUACAUAUAUAUUUAUUGUUUAAUUUUUAGAUUUUCUUUUUGUAAAUUAUAAUAUAUAUUCAAGUAAGUAUAUCUUACAUGCAUAAAUAUGUUUAUAUCAAAAUAUAAGUUUUAAAAUUACUAAUUAGGUUUAAUAAAUUAAUUUAAUAAUUGUAUUUUAAGUUUAAAUGUAAAAUUUAAAUUGUUUAAUAUAAAAUAAAAUAAAAUUUAGGUUUAAAGUAUUAAAAUUUUAUAUUGAUGUCCACUAAAUUAAUUAAUAAAUUUAAUAAAUUGGUUAAAAUAAUUGUACCUAUCAAUUAAUAGUAUAAUUAUAACGAGUGAUUUGUCAUAAUUAAUGUCUCAAGUAAGAGUAUUCUCGGCGAGCUUGCUUUGUAGCUAAGAAUUUAAUCUUUAUUUGUAAUAUAACAAUAAAGUACAAUGAUGAAGUAUGACAAUUUUAAUUUAUUCUCGUACAUUUAUUCUAAUCAAGUGGAGCAGAACCAUGACAUUUUCACAAUCGAUGAGAAUUGAGUUUGUAAAUAGCACCUUAGUAAUGAACUACAGUAACGUUAAAUUCAAUAAUGACAUUGGUGGCAUUUAUAAGGAUAGGGUUAAAUAGUGCAACCCCUCUUGCCAACAUGAAUCGUCCUCUUCCUCCGACCACCGCUAGCCCAGGUUCUCCCCUUGAAAAUACGCUUAGAGAGCUGCCGUUAAACUUACCGGUAUUGAAUCCAAAAUCAAUGUAUUGUGUGCUCGAUGCAUUCAUUCCAGCCAGGAGCGCAAUACCCUGAACAUUUCCAAUCACCUUCGAGUCAGGCUCAGGACCAGUCCUGAGGGGAUCAUUAACGGCAACUAGGGAGGCAAAUGGCACUGAUGAAUUAUUGCUUGUGAUGUUAGCUUGGGCUACCACGACUGCUGUAACACCCGUAUGUUCGUGCAUAAAGAAGUGAAGAUUGGUUUCCUUAGCUGGCUUGUGAUGAUGUACUGGUCGGGUCUCCGAGUAGUAUUCGCUCUGCACUGCUACUAGGGAGAGGCAGAUGAUCAGAAUCCAACUCAACACCAAUGUUCCUCUCAUUGUCUAUGCUUUACUAUAAUUUCUGGGGAGAAAUGUAGAUGCAAGCUAGUAGAAUUGUUGCUUGAUUCUUUAUUAAGAACACAAACAUUUAUACUGAAAAUACCCGGAGACAUGAAACUCAUUUAUUGUCCAAAACAUUUGAUGCAAUACGUGCUUGAUUUCUCACUAGUAAUAUUAAAAACAAAACAAAUUUUGACCAGGCAACACAAACUUGCCCUAAUUGGCUGCUUGAUUUUUAAAUAGGAAUAUUUGUGUUUUUGGAUACAUAUAAAUACGAAUUGUCUUCACUUAAUAAUUGGAAUGGCUUAAAGAGCAUUCUGCCUAUAAAAUUAAAUGAUCCACGUGCUUUAUAUUAGUUCUAGAUUGGAAUUUGGAAGUUUCCUCCCCCGCGUUUUUAUUUUCGUCGUCGGUUUUCGUCUUUUUCACAUGUUAUUGAUGUGUUGAUUUUAUAAAUUAUUUUAUCUUCCGCAAUUCCCUUUAGACCAAAUAACUUCAUUCUAAUACUGUCCUUGCUCAUAUAUUAAUCCACGUUUAAUAAAGUAAAAACAAAUUUAAUCCAACAAAUGUUUAUGCAUAAUUAAAUAAAACACAUGUUAAAGGAUGGUAUCUGAAUAUUUAAUCAAAACUCAUAUAUUUUAAUCAACCUAAAAAACAAUUUUCUAUUUUUCAAAAUAUUAUUUUUUUAUUUUUUUAUUUAUUUAUUUUCUCAAUUGAAUUAAAUAUUUGAGGUCCAAAUUUGUUAUUAAAAUUUGGUAACGUGACUAAAAUAGACAUCACCAUUAGUGAUUUAACGGAGGCGUGACCAAAAUAUUAAAUUUCGAUAACAUGACUAAGAUAAACGUUUUUAAACGUGAGUGGCCAAAAUUGAAAAAUGGUAAUAAUUAGACGGUCAUUUUUAGAGUUUACCCUUGUUGUAGUAUGAUAAGGACUUUUGAAUUUGGCGGGGCAUAUAGAGUUAAAAAUGGUCACAUUGUGUACGAAAUCUUCUUUAUAUAAUUUAUUCAUAAACCUCCCACACUCAUAAAAUAGAGGAUAAAAACACUUGUACGCAUGCUCAAACCCAAAUCCCGUUUAUUGUUGCAACAAUAAUGACAACUGAUCAAACCCAACGUUGUGACCAAUUAACCAGAUGUUCAUUCUCUUUAGGAAUAGUCUAGAUUUGAAUAAUCGAUGUAUGAAAAAAAGUUGUAAACAGGAAACCAAAGUUCUAUACGUCGAAACCAUUUUUUUUGAAAAGAAACGGGGUCGACUUUGAUUUUGAAAAUGAAAACGAACACGGGAGUCGCCACCAAUCCUUUUUAAUGAGGUGUGAUCGGGUCACCUCGCAAUUUAAUCGUUUUAAUAAAUAGUUUGAUUUAUUAAAACAUUAUUUUUUAGUCUACAAAAAAUCCAGAAAACGGAUUCGGGAGUCAGUUACGCACGAGGAAGGAUUAGCACCCUCGAUACGUCCAAAAUUGGUACCUAGUUGAUUGAUUAGUGUCUUAAUAUAAAAAUGUGCAAAUAUUUUAAAAUACGAUCCUUGUAUUUAAAAAACUUGUAUAAAUCAAAUUACCCGUUAAGACCCUCUCAUUUCGGAGAGAGAAAAUGUCACACCCAAUGAGUUAGGGCAUGAUAUUUCACCUCCUCAAAAAUGAGCUUGUCCUAAAAAAACUCAUGCAAUAAAAUUUAAAAGGAUAUUCAAUUGUUUAAGUCAGAUGAAGAAAUUGCAGCCCAAUACGUUGGGGCACAAUUUCUCAAAAUUUCAAACAUUGAAUAUUGCCUUUAUUAUUUUUUAGAAAAAUCCUCAUCUCGGGAAAAAAAAACAUGUCAUAUCCAAUGCGUUAGGACACAACGUGUUGAAUUCCCAAUACGAGAAUACAUACCGAAAAAUUUACUUAUUUGAAAGACAUUCGAUUACCUCAAUUUUAGAAAAGAUCAUAUUCCGUAAGUUAGAACACGAUCUUUUAUUAAUUCCCGAGAUUAUAAAAAACUUAUCUUUAAAAAGAUUCGUGUAUUUGGAUUUAUUGAGGAAAAUCGAAACCCCGUAAGUUAGGGCACGACUUUCUCAAAUCUCAAAAUACGUAGCUUUACUCAUUUUAAAGUCAUGGUUUAUGCAUCAAAUAAAAUUAAUCUAACGUGAAAUGGUAGAAAUAAAACACGGUGUUAAUAUGCGUAACAAAACAAUAAUGAAUAUGACAAUGUGGACAUAAAUAAUACGAGCAACAACAACAAAAAUAAGAUACAUCAAUAAAAGGACAAAUCAAUUAUAUAUAAAAAAACAAGUAAACAAACAAAUAGAACUAAAACAUUUUUUAUAAUAAUAAUAGACACAUAAAUAAAUGAAUGAAUAAAUAUUAAGUAAAACAAUAAUAAUAAAGAAAAUAAAUAAAAAAUGAUAACAGUUUUAAAUGCUAGAAUAUCAUUAAAUAAUAACUAUGUACUUAAAAAAAUAGUAAAAAUAUAAUAAUAAAUAAAACAAAUAUAUAUAUAAAACGAAAAAUAUAUAUAUAAAGAAUAAUAAUAAUUCAAAUUUAUUAAUUUUAAUAAUAAAAUAACCAAAAUAGCGAAAAAGGACUAAAUUAAAUUUUAAAACAAGAUUUUGGGGCGAAUCAGAAAUGAAUACAAGAAAUAGGACCUAAUUGGAUGCGCGAAUAACAAGGAGGGACUAAAUGAGCAAUAUUCCUCGUCCUCCAAAACGCACAAUUCCAUUAAGGACUAAAUUGUAAGCACAACAAGUUGUGGGAUAAAAUUAAAAAAAUAAAAUAAUUAAUUGAAAAUUCAUUAAAAAGCGGAAGGGAUAAAAGCGCAAAUUGCCCUUCCGCAUAAAAACACGCGGAUCCUGCAGGUUGAAUCGUGCGCGGGUCAGAGAGCAAAACGGUGUCGUUUUGGUCUCUGAACCCAAACUCCAAAACGGCACCGUUUAGUAAAUGUUAUUUAAACACAAAUUUUUUUAUUUUCAUUCUUUCUUCUUCCUCAGGAAAAAAAUUUUUGGAAAACUCUCUGAAGGCCCCCCAUGUCUUCUGACAGUCGGGCUUCUCACCUCCGCUCAUCCGUCAGCCGCACCGCCACUAAACCGACGACCGACAAAGCAUGACAAACGGCUUUUAAAGCCCGGCUUCUGGGUGCUUUGAAAAGUCGAGUCUUUGAACCCCCAUGAGCGCCGAGACAGAGGCUCAUAACUCCCCUUUUCGGAUCCGGGCCAACGAUGGAGAACCACCCACUGACGGCGCGGUCGCGAUGUAUCUCCGGUAUGCCCCUUUUUCCCUUUUUUUACUCUUUUAUUUAUUAAUAGUAUUUUAAAAAAAACAAUUCGUAAAGAAAAAUAAAAUAAAAUAAAAUAAAUAAACAAACAAAUAAAUCGACAAAGAAAAAAAUGAAGAACAAGAACAACAACCUUUUUAUUUUUUUGAUUUAUGUUGUUUUUGUAAAAAAAAUCCAGAAGAAGCAAUACGAUCGCCCUAUUCGGCCUUUUAUAGCCGAUUUAAAAAAAACUAAAUCUCUCUUCUUUUGUUGUUUUGUGCUUUGGAUUGUACGUUUGUCGUUUCUGUUUUGUUGUUUUCUUGCUGGUGUUCUGACGCGCAUGGGAAGGUGGCGUGCGCGAGGGAGCCUGGCAGAGCGUGCGGCGUUGGGGCUUGGGUAGAGGUGUGCGGCGCACCCUUAGGGAAAUUAGGGUUUGCCUAUGUGCUGGGCUUCGGGCUAGGGUUAAUUUAUUGGGUUUGGGCCACUGCUGUAAUGGACUUUUUUAUUUAUUUUUUUGGUUUAUUUUGUUUAUUUUUAUCUGUCUUGGGCCCAGGCCAAAAUUUGGGCCUUACACUAUAUUUUUCAAAAAUAUUUGUCUGCGCAUAUCCUUAUUAUACUUCAUGGUCAAAGUAUUUAAGGAAUAUAAUAAUUAAAAUUAAAAUUUUAAUAAAAUUUGUGUAUUUAAUAUUAAAAAUAAUUUCAAAUAUAUAUUUUGCGUGGAAAGUUUAGUUAAUCAGUAUUUAUAAAGUUAGCAUGAAAAAUAUAUUAACUGUAGGUUGUGUAACUAAAUCCAGAAAAUCAUUUUAAUUUUAAUUAUAUUACAUAUAGCCUUAAUUAUAUUACAGGAAUUAAAUUGUGAAAGUUCAAUCGCUAUUUAAUUUUAAUUUAAAAAACGUUUGAGGAUCCAGUUAGCAAUUAUGCAAAUGGCCUAAAAUAGUUAUGAAACCAUUGUUAUUAUAGGGAAGUUUAUGAUAAUAUCCACUUAAUUUCAUUAAUAAAGGUUAAUUAAUAAAGUAAGCAUGUUUAAUAGUUAAAAAUCUAAGUCAAUUAAUCUUUAAUUAUAACCUUAAUUAUGUAUUAAUAGGAAGGUGAGUGGAGAGAUGAUACAUUCAUCAUCCUCACCAAAUUGUGUUGUCCAAGUAGGAAGAGAAAGGAAAGGAAAACUCUUUUGCUUCUUUUACAUUUUGGUCCAAAAUCCCUGAGGUAUUUAAGUCUUUCCUUUGAAACUUUUAUGUUUUCAUGACUAUCUAAGUUUGAUUAAGUUUACCCGCGCCUUAGAUUUGUCAAUUGUUAAAUGCUUAUCAAAUAGUCAUUAAUGGGUAUUUGAUGAAAUUGAGUUUGAUUUUGAUGAUAAAUAGAAGUAUGAUUUUUUAGCAUGUUAGGACUAAGUUGAAAAUUAGAGAAACGUGCUGGAAUUGAUUAGAAAUUCAAUUAACCUAUCUAAUUGGUUUAUGACAUUUGGGAUCAAAUUGAAUAAAGUGAAAAUUGUUAGGGAAUUAUGUUAUAGAUUAAAAGUACAAGGUCCCUAAUGAAAGGAUAUGAAAUUAGAUUUUGAUUCGAUAUUAAAUAUAAAAGAAUACAAGUAUUUUGGAUAUAGGAACUAAAAUGAUAAAAAUGCAAACUAUGUUUGAUUAUAUGUUUUCAUGUGAUUGGGUGAAAACUAUUAUCGUUUCUAUGCUUGAAUUAUUGUAUGUAGCUAAAGAUGAUGUCAGAUUGUCUCAAGAGAAAGGAAAGACGAGAGUUGUAGACAAGUAGCUAAUACAGUUUGUGCUUCCAUGAUUUAAAAUCAAUACAUUUACAUAUAUUUCUAUUAAUUGUAUCAAACUAUCUUGAUUGAGGUAAUGUCAUGAAAAUGGUAAGUAUUUCAUGGUUGGCAACUUGUGAGAAAUGUGGUGAUAUGCAUGUGAUAAUACGAAAUAAUAUGAAUUAAUGGAUUGGAUUAAGCAUGAUAUAAUAUGAAAUGUUGGAUCUGGUGUCUUAAGUGCAGUAUAUUCGUUUGGUAAACUUGUAUUUUUUUGAACAAAUUGAUUUAAUAAUAUCCAUUAAUUACUUUAACACUCUUUGUAUAUUGUCCUCAAUGGUUUUUGUACACUGUUGACACCAUUUUUUUGAUGAAAACGGGAUUGACUUGGGUUUUGAAAACGAAAACGGGAGUCGCCACCAAUCCUUUUUGAUAAGGUGUGAUCGGAUCACCUUGAAAAGUGGUUGUUUUUAAUAAACGAUUUGAUUUUAUUAAAACAAUGAUUUUGGUCCACAAAAUUUAGAAAAACAGGUUCGGGAGUCGGUUACGUACGAGGAAGGAUUAACACCCUCAUAACGCCCAAAAAUUGGUACCUAGUUGAUUACUUAAUGUCUUAAUGUCGAAAAUUGAAAACUUUGAAGAAUUUUAAAAAUACGAUCCUAACAUUGAAUAAUAUGAGUUGGAAUUUAAGAUUCUCUUGUUCCGAAAGAAUAUCACAACCAGCACAUUAGGAUACGACAAGAUCACCUUAUGGUUUCUUAAACCUAUACUUUGAAACUUUAAAAGGGUAUUUGGCUAUUUGGCUAAAAGAGAAAUCGAAACCCAGCUCAUUAGGGCACGUUUUCUCGAAUUUCCAAACGCAAAAUAUUGCCUUACUUGGAAAUUUUAAAAGGAUAUUUGGCUAUUUGGUCGAACGAAAAAAUCGAAACCCAGCACAUUAGGGCACGUUUUCAAAUUUCCAAAUGCAAAAUAUUGCCUUUAUUAUUUUUUAGAAGAAUCCUCAUUUCGAUAAAACGAUGUGUCAUAUCCAAUGCGUUAGGACACAACGUAUCGAAUUCCCGAUACGAGAAUAAAUGCCGAAAAGUUUACUUACUUAAAAGAUAUUUAACUAUCUCAGAUUUUAGAAAAAGGUGUCAUGCCCAGUAAGUUAGGACACGAUCUUUUCUUAAUUCCCGAGAUCGUUUAAAAACUUGAGUUUGAAAAGAUUCGUGUAUUUAGAUUUAUUACGAAAAUCGAAACCUUGUAAGUUAGGGUACGACCUUCUCGAAUCUAAACACGAGAUUUUGCUUAUUCAAAAAUCAUAAUUUAUGCAUCGAAUAAAAUUAAUCUAACAUGAAAUAGUAGAAAUGAAACUCGAUAUUAAUACACGUAACAAGAUAAUGAAUACAAUAAUGUAAGCAUAAAUGAUACGAGCAACAACAACAAAAUAAUAAAUAAAUAAAUAAAAGAUGACAAAACAAUUAUACGUGAAACAAUAAACAACUAGGGCUAAAACAUUUCAUAAGAAUAAUGAUGAAAACAUAAAUAAAAACAUAAAUAUAAGAUAAAACAAUAGUAACAAUAAAGAAAAUAGAUAAAAAUUAUAAAAUGUAAAAAAAUAUAUAUGUACAUAGAAAGGAAAUAUAUAUGUAUGUAGAUAUAAAAUUAUGAAAAUACGAGAAAAAAUAUAUAUAUAUCUUAAAAUUAUUGAAUAUAAAAGUUUAUGCAAGUAUGUAUAUACACGUUUAUGUAUAUAAAGUUUAUAAAAAAAAUAUAAGUAUAUAUAUAUAUAUAUAUUCAUAAAAAAUGUAUAUAAAUAUAUAUAAAUAUAGAUAUAUAUGUAUAGAUUAUAAAAUGUAUAUAAACAUGCGUGUGUAUGUACAUAUUAGAGGUGCUCAUGGGCCAGGCGGCCCGGCUUGGCCCGACGGCCCGCCCGAAAUAUGGGAGGGUUUGGGUAAAAAUAUAGGCCCGAAAUAUGGGCUUGGGCAAAAAAAUGAGGCCCGUUUAGAAAAUGGGCCGGACCUCGGGCACCACUUUUUUGGCCCGGGCCUGCCCGGCCCGGCCCGAUAUAAUAAAUUUAUUUAUUUUUUUAAUUUUAAAAUAUUUUUAAAAUACUUUUUUUAAUUUUUUUAAAUUUUAAAAUAUUUUUAAAAUACUUUUAAAAUACUUUUUUUAAAUUUUUUUAAUUUUAAAAUAUUUUAAAAUACUUUUUUUAAGUUUUAAAAUAAAUUUUUAAUAUUUAUUAAAAAAUGGGCCGGGCCGGGUCGGGCCCGGACUUAUGAUUUUUUCCCGGGCUGGGCCUGGGUAAAAUUUCAGGCCCAUAUUUCGGGCCGGGCCGGGCCUGGACCUAGGACCCGGGCCGAAAUUUUUUUUAUGGGCCCGGCCCGAACCCGGCCCGACCCGUCCCAUGAGCACCUCUAGUACAUAUUAAAUAAAAAAACGUGUACAUAUAUUAUGAAAAUGUAUAUAUAUAGAUAUAAAAAUAAAGCUAAAAAUAUAUAUAUUACUAAUUAAGGUAUUAAAUAUAAUAGUAACAAAUAAAUAAAAGAAAAAUAAAAUUAAUAAUAAUUAAUAAUAGUAACGAUAAUAAUAAUAAUAAGGUUAAAUAAUAAAAAUGCUAAAAAAACACUGACUAAAUUAAAAUAAAACGAAAAUACAUGGCUGAUUUGAAAGUAAAAAAGACGAAAAGGAUCAAAUUGUGACACGCACAAAAAGGGAGGGACCAAAACAAUAAAUAGACCGAAUUCCCAAAACGCGGUGCUACAGUGGACUAAAUUGAAACGAAAACAAAACUGCGCGUCUAAAUUAAAAAAAAGAAAAGAAAGAAAAAAAAGGGGAAAAUUGCAACACGCCGUAAAAUCGGAGGGACUGCACGCGUAAAUAUCCUAAAAGUCAAAAACACGUGGAUCCUCCGGGUCGGGUCGGGUCGGGUCGGGUCGACGCGCGGAUCCCCUCACCAAAACGGUGCUGUUUCAUUCCUUUAUAAAAGUCAGAUUUUUUAUAUAUUUUUUUAUUUCUGCUACUUUUUUCUAAAAAGUUUUCAAACCCUUUUUUUUUUCUCUCAACCCUUCCCUCAUCUCCCCAGAAUCCGGCCGUCGAUCCGGCCAUGGGCCACUGUGCCGGUCGCCGACGCCGGUGCCGACGUGUACGACGGCAAGGAGACCAAAAGUCUCCCCUUUUUCGCUGAAUCGUCUCUCCUCGGCCUCCUAAGCGUCUCGGCGUCGAUAAAAAAGGGUAAAAAUGCCUCCCUUCUUCUUUUAUUUUGUACUUCGAAUAAAAAUAAAAAUAAAAACAAAACAAAAAUAAAAAGAAGAGUAACCUUUUAUUGCUUUUUUAAUCUUUGUUCUUCCUUUUUUUUGAAUAGAUUUCUCUUUUUUUUUUCAAAAGAAGAACCCUUUUACAAUUUGUUUUUGGGCUAUUUAUAGCCGAUUCUGUUUUUGUUUCCUUUUUCUAUUUAUGCUUGCGUGUUCUUCUUUCUCUUGCAGGUGGAGCAGGUGCAAGUGGGGUGAUGGGACGUGCGACGCGGCAGUGGCAGAGCUAGGGCGGCGGCAGUUGGGUCUGAAUACCCUAGGUGCGGCGCCUAGGGUUCUUUUGUUUCUGCUAGGGUUUUUUUCUUUUUUUUUUCUUUUGGAUUUGGGCCAUUUGGGUUUUGGGCUUAGGUUAGGUUUAAUUGGGGUUUGGUCUGUUUAUUUUCUGUUUUGGUUGUAUUUGGGCUAGUUGGGCCUCGGGCAAAAAAUUGGGCUUGUACAACUGCCCCUCUUUGCUCGUUGUCGUGUAACGAGAACAGAGCAAAGACCUAAAAAGACCAAUAUUUUGCCCGGUCUCGCCGAGUCUUGACUUCUCUUGACGUUUCUCUUCUUCAAGUAGCUCCGUUUCAAUCCACUACGUCUUGUUGCUUCAAUCCACUCUACUGUAGCAAUAACUUUAGGGGGACGAGGUUUGUGGUUUUAGUCUGCUCCACUUGGGAAGAUAAGAUUCACCAUCUUUGAUCUGCUCCACUACUGCUUAGGGAGACAGAAUCUGCAAGGGAGACAGAAUCUGCAAUCUUUAACCUACUCCACUACUGCUUAGGGAGAUAGGACUAAUGGCUUAAAUCUACUUCACCACUAUCUCGGGAAGAUAAGAUUCACCAUCUUUGAUCUGCUCCACUACUACUUAGGGAGACAGAAUCCUACUCCACUACUGCUUAGGGAGAUAGGACUGAUGGCUUAAAUCUGCUUCUCCACUAUCUUGGGAAGAGAAGAUUCACGAUCUUCGAUCUGCUCCACUACUACUUAGGGAGACAAAAUCUACAAUCUUCAACCUACUCCACUACUGCUUAGGGAGAUAGGACAAAUGACUUAAAUCUGCUUCUCCACUAUCUUGGGAAGAUAAGAUUCACCAUCUUCGAUCUGCUCCACUACUGCUUAGGGAGACAGAAUCUUCAAUUUUCAACCUACUCCACUACUGCUUAGGGAGAUAAGACUAAUGGCUUAAAUCUGCUUCUCCACUAUCUUGGGAAGAUAAGAUUCACCAUCUUCGAUCUGCUUCACUACUGCUUAGGGGGAUAGAAUCUGCAAUCUUCAACCUACUCCACUACUACUUAGGGAGAUAGGAUCUGUAAUCUUUAAUCUGCUUUGCUGCAAACUAUGAUGUCUUCGAUCUACUUCACUGUCAGUACAGGAAGGCAAGAUCUGCUAUCUUCAGUCUGAUGGUGUCUUUGAUCUACUUCGUCGUCAGUACAGGAAGGCAGGGCUGGUGUCUUCGAUCUGCUUCGCCGUCAGUACAGGAAGGCAAGAUCUGCUAUCUUUAGUCUGCUCUGCUGUCAGUACAGGAAGGUAAGGCUGGUGUCUUCGAUCUGCUUCGCCGUCAAUACAGGAAGGCAAGAUCUGCUAUCUUCAGUUUGCUCCGCUGUCAGUACGGGAAGGCAAGGCUGGUGUCUUCGAUAUGCUUCGCUGUCAGUAUAGGAAGGAAAAAUCUGCUAUUUUCAGUCUGCUCCGCUGUCAGUACAGGAAGGCAAGGCUGGUGUCUUCGAUCUACUUCGCAGUCAGUACAGGAAGGCAAGAUCUGCUAUCUUCAGUCUGCUCCGUUGUCAGUACAGGAAGGCAAGGCUGGUGUCUUCGACAUGCUUCGCUGUCAAUAUAGGAAGGUAAAAUCUGCUAUUUUAAAUUUGCUCCGCUGUCAGUACAGGAAGGCAAGGUUGGUUUCUUCGAUCUGCUUCACCGUCAGUACAGGAAGGCAAGAUCUGCUAUCUUCAGUCUGCUCCGCUGUCAGUACAGGAAGGCAAGGCUGGUUUCUUCGAUCUGCUUCACCGUUAGUACAGGAAAGCAAGAUCUGCUAUCUUCAGUCUGUUCCGCUGUCAGUACAGGAAGGCAAGGCGGGUUUCUUCGAUCUGCUUCACCGUCAGUACAGGAAGGCAAGAUCUGCUAUAUUUAGUCUGCUCCGCUGUCAGUACAGGAAGGCAAGGUUGGUGUCUCCGAUCUGCUUCGCUGCCAGUAUAGGAAGGCAUGAUUUGCUAUCUUUAGUCUACUUCGCUGUCAGUACAGGAAGGCAAGACUGGUUUCUUCGAUCUGCUUCGCCGUUAGUACAGGGAGGCAUGAUCUGCUAUCCUUAGUCUGCUUCGCUGUCAGUAUAAGAAGGCAAGACUGGCUUCUUCGAUCUGCUUCACUGUCAGUACAGGAAGGCAUGAUCUACUAUCUUUAGUCUGCUUCGCUGUCAAUAUAGGAAGGCAAGACUGGUUUCUUUGAUCUGCUUCGCCAUCAGUACAGGAAGGCAUGAUCUGCUAUCUUCAGUCUGCUCCGCUGUCAGUACAGGAAGGUAAGACUAGUUUCUUCGAUCUGCUUCGCCGUCAGUACAGGAAGGCAAGAUCUGCAAUCUUCAUUGAUCUGUGCUCUGGGGAAAACCACCUGUAUAUUCUAUUUUAUGAACCUAAUUGUGCCUAGUGGUUAGGAUGACAUGAUCAGAAUGAAUCAAAUGCUCCUAAUUAGACACGUAUGAAUGACAUUUGAAUGAAUGCAAUGAGAAUGAUCCCUUUUUAAUGCUUGAGUUAUCAUUACUCAAAGUUUAUUAAGGUUUUAUCACUACCGUGCUACAACGCCUUCUUGCUUGGCUGGUGUAUCCAAAGAAACACUUUAUCUGAUUGCCCCCAUUGUGAACGUCAGAGUUCAAUCCACUAGGACGCAAAAUUUGUACCAUCAUUCUCCCACUGUGAUCCAAGGGUAGAAAAAUAUGGCUUUUCUCAAUCAUCUCCUAUCGCAAUUCAAGGAUACAGAAUGUGAAGCUCUUUGGUCUUUUACCCCAUUCCCAGGGUGUUAUACCAAAUGCUCAUGCACAAUUGCAAAAGUUUCUUCUCCGAGAAAACCUUUUCUUAUCACUCGGUGAUUAUUGCUUGUUUAUUCAUUGAAGCCUUGUCAUCAACACAACAUUUUGUCAUUUUGUUCAAUCAAUGUUUGGAUAACAAAAUCUGAAAGGAUAGUCUUAACUUAGACUCUUCCUUCUUAGAAAUUUCAACCUUUAAACUUGGUGUGUUCUAAACAAUAUCCUGUUUCAGGUUCCUAUAUUAUUUAGAAACUUCUAGGGUAAUAUGCAAAACUUCCCUUGUGAAAGUAUUAUUAGUCCAUUAAUCAUUAUUCCAAUGCAACAUGCUUGCAAAAGAUCAUAUCGAUAGAUAAAACAAAAUUGAUUUGGGAGCCUAGCUCAAAAUAAAUUAUCAAGGAUAGCAAGAAUAAAAGAGGAAUUGAUUGGAACACGUAUCUUGAAAAAGAAUAAAGUAUUCCAAGAACAACAAAUUCAAUAUAAAGGUUAGGUGCCCCAGAUAUCGCAUCUUAAACUUCUCUGUACAAACUUUUUGAAGACCUUUCUGAGUUUGACAUGUGUUUAGGAGAUCUACAGGACUUUGUCGAUGCCCCAAGAUGUUGCCUACCCUUUCCUGUUGAUUCAGGUAUAACAAGAUCACCACAUGCCCCAAUUUGGUUAAAAUUUGAGCUGCUCUGAUCACCUCAUGCCCCAUUUGAUCCAAAACUUGAAUCGCCCUUUUCGGGUUUUCAACUCAAAUCCCCUUUGGUCUCAAGGCGCCCUUUGCGGGUUUUCACAUUGGCCUCUCCUUUUUUUUUCUUUUUCUUUUUUUCCCUCUUUUUUUCUUUUUUUAAUUUGAACUCAUUGUAUUAGGUAUGUCAUCGUUAUCCCUUCCGAUCAAGAUUGACGCUUUUCCAGAUAAGGCCUUCCCCAUAAGGUUCUUCCCAUCUUGGCAUGAAGUUCUUUUUGUGUGGGAAGGAUCUUCUUCGAUACCAAGUACCCCUCAUGGAACUUUAUAGGGCAAACUUUUUUGUGAGCUCGCAUCAUUUGCUUUUGGCGCAUUUGACCAUGAUGGACAACUUUGAACAUUCCUCUUCAAUCGGGAUUGGAUCCAAAAACUCAGAGAGAAAGAAUCUCAUCUUCAAUAGGCGAAACCGCGAUAGGCCCAAGAGAACGGCAUUGCCCCCGCAGAGUUUUUUUUUAAUGCUCUGUUCACCUUUGGGCAACAUAGUGUUAAUUUUGAACAUACUGCCAACUUCUGAUAUCAUGCUCUUGUUCAAAUUUGGUGCAUUGUUAGAUAUGAUCCUUUUGGCAUUCCAUAUUGACAUAUGAUUUUUUUUGAGAAUUUGUUGACUGUCAACUUUCUGAUGUUGGCAUAUGAAGCGGCUUCUACCCGCGAAGAUAAAUCAAUGACCGCCAAAGUCUUCUAUCUAGAUCGUCCCAAUAGCCUUCAUGCCCCACAUAGGGAGGAGCCAUGGACUCCAUUGAUUUUUUGUAUGGUGGAAUCUAUUUUUCACCUUGUUUUAUCAUCCUUAACAAGUUCAGAGAUAAGCUAUAAUCUAUGUCAUCUUCAAAGUCAUGAGAUCCCUCUAAACACAUGUCUCGCUCAAAACGAGAUUCUGAGUCUGUAGCAGCGUCACUCAUGUCGUUGAUAUCUGGGGACCUAUUGUAAGUACAAGAGAAUAUACAAAGAAUGUAUGAAUUUAAGAAUAAUUAUUUGUACAGUAUGAUUAUGAAUGAAUGAAAGAAUGAUUUGGAAGAAAGAAUGAAAGAAUAAUUAUUCAUAAAAGGAUGAAAGAAUAUUAGCUCAAAAAUGAUCGCAAAGAUAUAUUUCAUUAAAAUAACGACGUUCAGAUAUGAGCCUAUUUCACAAAGGAAUUCUUAUCGCCUCUAGGCUGAAAGCAACAAGUGUGUUCUGGACAUUACUCUAAAUAAACUCUAAAUACUACAAAGAUUUCUUCUGCAGUCCGAUUAUUUAGAACACUCCCAAGUUUAUAAGGGCGGAUAUCUAACAAGGUCCCUUUUCAAUUGUCUUCAUGUAUGACAUUGAUAUGACCAUUUUUUUGACCCCUUCAUAGAACUCUAUCUUGUUGGACCUUAGCUAACCGCUCUUGUAUUUGCAGUCAUAGUUGGUCUUGCCUCCCCCUUUGGAGUCGUUCAAGUUUUCAAUCUUUGGUCCAUGUUUUUUUGUUCGGAUACCGUAAUGAUGCUAAGUCGAUAGACUUUUUUUCGGUUCCCAGGUUAACUGAAAUAAUUUUACUCAAUUAGGGUCUUUUAAUGGUCCCUAAUGCACAUGAUGCUAUGUAAUGCAAAUGCAUGAAAUGAAUGCAAAAAGAGACAUUGAUUCUUGGUUCAAUUCUAUUAGAACAACUUUACUAGAAAACAAAUCUCUUUACAUAAAGCAGAUAUAUAUACGGCUUUGCCCUCAUAGGCGGAGACAUUCGAUCCUCUUUUUCAUUCAAGCGUUAAGAUAAAUCUCAGGAACUCUUCAAAAGGGACGUCUCUUCUAUCUCUUUUUUGCUUAAUCCAAGCCAUGACUCGUUGCUCGCUCAUCCUUGUGAUGCUCAUUGGCUUCUCUUUAAGAAAGUUCAGCGGCUCUCGAAUAAUCUUUGUCUUCUUGAAUCCUCGGGCAACGGAGCAAUAGUCGUGUAGUCCUCUAUUAAACUAUCAUCAUUCUCUUAUCACGUUUUCUUGGACCAUAUUCGGAUAACCGUAUCGUCAUCCACUUUAUCAAGAAACCUAUUGUCUUAUGACAAGCUCUCUAUUUAGCAACCGAACGUGAAUCAACACCUCUUUUUAUGAUGAAAAUGCAAUGCAAUCAUAACAAAAAAGAAAACAUGUUAGUACAAAGAAAAAGCAAGCAAGAAUAAAGAGAACACCUAUUCGGGUGAAUACUAGGGGUUCGAAGUGGUUCUACCUAGGGUGGGCUCCUAAAGUUCGCCACAUGAGGUUUGGUUCUAAAGUAAAGGUACCCGAGCCAGCAGAUUCCUCGAUCUUCACCCAUUAUAGGCUCACAUUUCCCUAGUUCGGUUCAGGGGAAUACAUUUCCCUAUGGCUGCACGGAGAUGAAAAUCUCACGAAGACAUAGGUACAGAUGUAUCCCGAAAGCGAUCCACUAUCCUGCACGGAGGCGAAAACCUCACGAAGGAGUAGCUUCUCACUCCCACUUAAAAGGGUGUGACCAACGGUCAUGCAAUGCAAUGUGCAGAGAUGUAAAAAUUUAAAAUACAAAACAUGAUGAAAACUAUAAAACAUGAUGAAAACUAUAACUCAAAACAAAUGCAAUGAGAGGAUUGUAUAUUUAAAUCAAGUUUUUUAAUUUUUGACAAAAAGACAAAAAAUAAUCAUCUCGUGGCUUGACUCUCUUAUUUUAUGUCCCCAGUGGAGUCGCCAAGCUGUUGACACCAUUUUUUUGAUGAAAACGGGAUCAACUUGGGUUUUGAAAACAAAAACGGGAGUCUCCACCAAUCCUUUUUGAUAAGGUGUGAUCAGAUCACCUUGAAAAGUGGUUAUUUUUAAUAAACGAUUCGAUUUUAUUAAAACAACGAUUUUGGUCCACAAAAUUCAGAAAAACGGGUUCGGGAGUCGGUUACGUACGAGGAAGGAUUAGCACCCUCGUAACGCCGAAAAAUUGGUACCUAGUUGAUUAGUUAAUGUCUUAAUGUCGAAAAUUGAAAACUUUGAAGAAUUUAAAAAAUACGAUCCUAAAAAAUUUUGAAUAAUAUGAGUUGGAAUUUAAGAUUCUCUUGUUCCGAAAGAAUAUCACAUCCAGCACAUUAGGAUACGAUAUUUUAAACUCUCGAAACCAAGAUCACCUUAUGGUUUCCAAAACCUAUACUUUGAAACUUUAAAAGGGUAUUUGGCUAUUUGGCUAAAAGAGAAAUCGAAACCCAGCUCAUUAGGGCACGUUUUCUCAAAUUUCCAAACGUAAAAUAUUGCCUUACUUUGAAAUUUUAAAAGGAUAUUUGGCUAUUUGGUCGAACGAAAAAUCGAAACCCAGCACAUUAGGGCACGUUUUCAAAUUUCCAAAUGCAAAAUAUUGCCUUUAUUAUUUUUUAGAAAAAUCCUCAUUUUGAGAAAAUGACGUGUCAUAUCCAAUGCGUUAGGACACAACGUAUCGAAUUCCCGAUACGAGAAUAAAUGCCGAAAAGUUUACUUAUUUAAAAGAUAUUUAACUAUCUCGGAUUUUAGAAAAGGGUGCCAUGCUCAGUAAGUUAGGACACGAUCUUUUCUUAAUUCCCGAUAUCGUUUAAAAACUUGAGUUUGAAAAGAUUCAUGUAUUUAGAUUUAUUACGAAAAUCGAAACCCAGUAAGUUAGGGUACGACCUUCUCGAAUCUAAACACGAGAUUUUGCUUAUUCAAAAAUCAUAAUUUAUGCAUCGAAUAAAAUUAAUCUAACAUGAAAUAGUAGAAAUGAAACUCGAUAUUAAUACACGUAACAAGAUAAUGAAUACAAUAAUGUAAGCAUAAAUGAUACGAGCAACAACAACAAAAUAAUAAAUAAAUAAAUAAAAGAUGACAAAACAAUUAUACGUGAAACAAUAAACAACUUGGGCUAAAACAUUUCAUAAGAAUAAUGAGGAAAACAUAAAUAAAAACAUAAAUAUAAGAUAAAACAAUAAUAACAAUAAAGAAAAUAGAUAAAAAUUAUAAAAUGUAAAAAAUAUAUAUGUACAUAUAAAGGAAAUAUAUAUGUAUGUAGAUACAUAAAAUUAUGACAAUACGAGAAAUAUAUAUAUAUAUCUCUUAAAAUUAUUGAAUAUAAAAGUUUAUGCAAGUAUGCAUAUACAGGUUUAUGUAUAUAAAGUUUAUAAAAAAAACAUAUAAGUAUAUAUAUAUUCGAAAAAAAUGUAUAUAAAUAUAAAUAUAAAUAUAGAUAUAUAUGUAUAGAUUAUAAAAUGUAUAUAAACAUGCGUGUGUAUGUACAUAUUAAAUAAAAAACGUGUACAUAUAUUAUGAAAAUGUAUAUAUAUAUAUAGAUAUAAAAAUAAAGCUAAAUAUAUAUAUAUUACUAAUUAAUGUAUUAAAUAUAAUAGUAACAAAUAAAUAAAAGGAAAAUAAAAUUAAUAAUAAUUAAUAAUAGUAACGAUAAUAAUAAGGUUAAAAAAUAAAAAUGCUAAAAAAACACUGACUAAAUUAAAAUAAAACAAAAAUACAGGGUUGAUUUGAAAGUAAAAAAGACGAAUAGGAUCAAAUUGCGACACGCGCAAAAAGGGAGGGACCAAAACAAUAAAUAGACCGAAUUCCCAAAACGCGGCGCUGCAGUGGACUAAUUUGAAACAAAAAUAAAACUGCGCGUCUAAAUUAAAAAAAAGAAAAGAAAGAAAAAAAGCGGCAAAUUGCAACACGCCGCAAAAUCGGAGGGACUGUGCGCGUAAAUAUCCCAAAAGUCAAAAACACGAGGAUCCUCCGGGUCGGGUCGGGUCGACGCGCGGAUCCCUUCACCAAAACGGCGUCGUUUCAUUCCUUUAUAAAAGUCAAAUUUUUUUAUAUAUUUUUUAUUUCUGCCACUUUUUUUUUAAAAAGUUUUCAAACCCUUUUUUUUUCUCUCAACCCUUCCCUCAUCUCCCCAGAAUUCGACCGUCAAUCCGGCCAUGGGCCACCGUGCCGGUCGCCGACGCCGGCACUACCGUGUACGGCGGCAGGGAAACCAAAAGUCUACCCUUUUUCGCCGAAUUGUCUCUCCUAGGCCUCCUGAGCGCCUCGGCGUCGAUAAAAAAGGGUAAAAAUGCCUCCUUUCUUGCUUUAUUUUAUACUUCAGAAAAAAAUAAAAAUAAAAAUAAAAAUGAAACAAAAAUAAAACGAAGAGUAACCUUUUAUUACUUUUUUAAUCUUUGUUCUGCCUUCUUUUUUUUUUUGAAUAGAUUUCUCUUUUUUUUUUCCAAAAGAAGAACCCUUUUACAAUUUGUUUUUGGGCUAUUUAUAGCCGAUUCUGUUUUUGUUUCUUUUUCUAUUUAUGCUUGCGUGUUCUUCUUUCUCUUGCAGGUGGAGCAGGUGCAAGUGGGGUGAUGAGACGUGUGGCGCGGCGGUGGCAGAGCUAGGGCGGCGGCAGUUGGGUCUAAAUACCCUAGGUGCGGCGCCUAGGGUUCUUUUGUUUCUGCUAGGGUUUUUUUUCUUUUUUCUUUUGUUUUGGAUUUGGGCCAUUUGGGUUUUGGGCUUAGGUUAGGUUUAAUUAGGGUUUGGUCUGUUUAUUUUCUGUUUUGGUUGUAUUUGGGCUAGUUGGGCCUCGGGCAAAAAAUUGGGCUUGUACAUACACAAAGCAAAAUGGAAGAAAAUAUUAGAUCACUGAUUACCUAACGUUUAACUAAUACUAAGCAGCAUUAUGUGGUCGGAUUGUAAUGAGGAAAGACGACUUGUAUUAGUAGAUCAUAAACCUAAACAUGCCCUUAGUCUAAUCGGAAAUGAGAAAACCAAUUGAAAGAUUUAUAUGUCAUAUAUGAAGUCCAAUUAGGGCUAAUCAAUGACUAAUAAAUUUAAUUUUCACUUCGAACUUCAAUUAUUUAAUUUCAAUAAAUUAAAUAAUAAUUCAAAACAAUUAAUUCAAUUUUCUACAUGCAAUCUAUUUUGGGUUAUACUGAAUUAGCAGAGGAACCAAUUGAACAUAUAUAAUUAGGGCUCAAAUAAUUUUUAAUUUAGUUUCAUCUAUUCACCUAUUAAUUACAACAUUAUUUAAUUAUAAAGUCAUUUCACUAAAGUAUCAUGAUUGAACCCUUCCCUAUUAUAUAGCAUCACGAAAGUAACUUAAUAAAUGCUUGUACAAUGACCUUAUUAUGAGUGUGUUACCCUCGUAGGUUAUCUAUUAUCUUUUUGGUUAAUUUCUUUCAAGUAAUAUGAUCCUAUUUUAUCUCAUGGUAAUUACUAUUUCAUCUUCCCUCAUGAAACAGUCAAUUAAAUCAUUUGUUCCAGACAAAUGAUCUAAGACCAUGUUACAUUUUCAUCUAUCAUGUAAUAAUGUCAAAGAGAAGAUAUCAUUUACCUUUUGUAGGACUAUGAAUUCCACCAUAAUAAAUGAAGCUAUGUCAUGCAGAAGUCAAAUACACUACAUACCGGCUUUUGGUUCUUUAGUUGUUUUGAACUCAGACAUUCAAUACAUUAAAGCAUACGAGUCAAGCAUACAUAGUAACUUACUCAGGGUUAAGGUAAGUCACACUACGAACAUUACAAGUAAAUUAAUCCUCAAACAAAUCUACGAUUAAUUCGACUUGUAUCUUGUCUAAUGUAUUAUCAAUCCAGACAAUAACAUCUAUGUUCGUAUCUUUUGGGAGUCAUUUGCUUUGAUACGCAAGACAAUGUAUCUCUCUAAUUGGAUUUGAUAGACGACAGAAUAGUCCUUUAAUCAAUUUGCUAAAUUUCGAUACAGUAAAUGAUGGAUCUUUUAGAUCGCCUACUAAUAUAAGUUGUUUUCUCACAUUAUGACUUGAUGACGUAAUACAACUUAGUAUAAGUUAAACACUAUGUAAUUAGUGAGUCAAUAUUUACUAUAUUCAAAAUUUACCAUUUUCUUUUGGGAAAUCAUUUUAGUCUAUUUUAAUUAGUUUAGAAUUAACAUUUAAUAUCUCUCUCUCUCUUGGGCAGAACAAUAAAAUAUAUAAUAUGAGCUUAAUAUAGUUCAUUAGAGUAUACUUAGGCUCCUUUGGAUUGGUGGUGACAUUCGCUUGAAUGGGAUUAAAACUAGUGGUUCAUGUACUAAAAUGCCUCUUUAUAACUCAAAAUAAAUUAAAAUUAAUAAAUUUUAUUUUUAUAUAUUUAAAUUUUUAUUUAUUAACAACCAUAUGUUAAUUAAAAACAUCGUUAUAUGAUGGAAUUCGCUGGUUGAUGUUAGACUCAUCACAUUUGCUGCAGUGAGUGGCGAGAUUCAACAUGAUAUGAUCGUCAAGUCCACUGGAUGAGGUCGCAUAUUGGCAACCUUGCUCCUUUCUGUCAUCCGGUGUGAGUGAGCUUUGGUCAACAAAGUGAUCUUAGAGUUAAAUAGAAAUGUCAAUUGCUAAACAACAUCUUCGAAACAAGAGUAUUUUUAUUUGUCUUUUUAUUCCAUUUCGAGUUAAGAUUUUUGAGAAAACUAAAAGUGAAAAUUUGUAUGAAAAGAAAGAAAUUGUAGUAAGCUGAAAAGUUAUAUGGUUGGAAAUUAGGAAGUUUAACUUUUCAUAAUUGUGAUUUAUCUUUUGUUAAAUUUAACCAAAGCCUCAUCUUAAUUUAUUUGAAAUAUCAGUUUAUCCCAAAUAUUUAACUGAGUCUGGAAUUAAGUUCGAAGGGUUGAUUUAAGGUAUAAUAUCAAAUUUAGUCUUCAACAUUUAAAUAUUGUCAUUUUGGCCCUUAUUCUAUUUUUUAGCUCUAUUUGACCGUUAACCUUUUAAAAAGCGUCAAAUCGUUUUUGUUUUAUAUGCUAUGUCAACUAAUAGUUUUAUUUUUUUAAAAACAAUAAUAAUAAAAUUUAUAAAAAUAUUCAUAAAAACUCAAAAAAAUAGCAUGACGUACAUGUGAAUUACCAUGCGGGCUAUGAUAUUUAAGAAGUUCACGUUUUAAUUAAUAUUUUCAUUAAAAAUUAAUUAUUCAACUCAUUUAAAAAGGUUGGCUCCUUUUGGUUAAAAAGUUGAGGCUCAAUUUUAAGUAAAAAAAAAAAGAAGAAAAACCAAAUUGAGUUUGAUAGCUAAAUUUGAUAUUAUACUUCGAUAUAUUAGAGGCUUAAGUAUCUCUGAACCCAGAUUUAUCGAAUCAGACAAAAUUUGGAAUCAAUGAAAAUAAUAAAGCUUUUCUCUCUAACUUUAUUCAAACUUUGGCCGAGAGAAUUUCCAGUUUAGAUGUUGGUGAUCUAAAUCAUUUCUUGGGAAUUGAAGUCAUUCCAACAUCUCAAGUUUUAUUCGUCUGAAUAUAUUAGUUAUGAUAUAUUGAGCAAAGUAAACAUGUCGAAUACUCAAACGCGAAGGAAUCAAACACACCGGUUUCCACUUUAGUUUCUUUAAGUUUUCAUGAUGGCUUUGCUGUAGUCGAGGCCAAAGAGUCCAGAAAACUUGUUGCUUCGUUGUAAUUGUUUCCUUGUAAACAAACUUUUCAAAUUUUUGCAUAAACCAAUCUCUAUUAGAGAUGAAGAUAAAUUUUUGUAGCUAAGAAUUUAAUCUUUAUUUGUAAUAUAAUGAUAAAAUACAAUGAUCAAGUAUGAGAAUUUAAACUUUUAAUCAGAUGAAGAUAUAUAUCUCAUACAUUUAUUCUAAUCAAGCGUGACAGAAUGAUAUGACUUUUUCACAAUCUGUAGAUAACAUCUUAGUAAUGAAUUACAGUAACGUUAAAUUCAAUGAUGACAUUGGUGGCAUUUAUAAGGAUAGGGUUAAAUAGUGCAACCCCUGUUGCCAUCAUGAAUCGUCCUCUUCCUCCGACCACCGCAAGCCCAGGUUCUCCCCUUGAAAAUACGCUUAGAGAGCUGCCGUUAAACUUACCGGUAUUGAAUCCAAAAUCUAUGUAUUGCGUGCUUGAUGCAUUCGUUCCAGCCAGGAGCGCAAUACCCUGAACAUUUCCAAUCAGCUCCGAGUCAGGCUCAGGACCAGUCCUGAGGGGAUCAUUAACGGCAACUAGGGAGGCAAAUGGCACUGAUGAAUUAUUGUCGCUGCUUGUGAUGUUAACUUGGGCUACCUGGACUGCUGUAAUACCCGUAAAUUCGUGCAUAAAGAAGUGAAGAUUGGUGACCUUAACUGGCCUGGGACGAUAUGGUAGGGUCUCCGAGUAGUAUUGGCUCUGCACUGCUACUAGGGAGAGGCAGAUGAUCAGAGCCCAACUCAACAUCAAUGUUCCUCUCAUUGUCUCUGCUUUACUUUAAUUUCUGGGGCGAAAUGUAGAUGAAAG
rnacentral:lncRNA from 1 species